CAGAGGUGGAGGUGUCAGACUGAGAGCCUUUCAGCAAAGCUCAUGGAACAGAGCUAUCCACGUGGAAGGCACCUGGAACAGAGGUGGGUACUGACUGAGCUUGCUACCUGGCCUGCUGCCUGGUGCCACCUGCACUGAGCUAAAGCAGACAACUCACUGCUGUCCUCAAGCGGUAAGUCAAGGGAGCACGGGUUUUGCUGAGACAGCAACAGCCACCCGAUGAUGAAAUCAACGGUCGGUCGGAGUGGAAGAGAGGAAAUACGUAGCAUCUUCCAGCUGGACAAGGAACUGACUUUUUGGAGGCUGAGAUCUAGCAACAUCCUGGAACUGAUACAAAAGAAAUUAUUUAGGGGGCUACGAGAGGAGCAAUUUACAAACUGAUAAAGGACCCCAAGUAUCUGACCAGCAAGCCCAAGCAAGGAUUCGGUGUUUCCGAGAGCGCCUUGGGGGAUCUGCACUGCGUCUCUGAAGGUAGCACCAGCGCGGAGCAGGCAGGUUUACCGUUCGUUUCUGCCACCCAACCUGGAGACAGCAGUUGUGAAAUCUUCCCAGGCAUGUCACUUGGCGGGUCGCCAUCAGGACUACUAGGACAGACCUGACCAAAAGUCUCACUCACCAAGCUUCUCCGACCACCCCGGGGUGUCCACACUCGGUUCCUCCCAUGACAGCAGCUCCUUGUUCAGAGAGCUCUCCGUAUCACCUUGGGUUCUGGAAACCAAACACGUCCUCUGCAAGAACAGCCAGUGCUCCUAACAGAAAAAGAUGAAAAACGCAGUGGAAAAAUGAACAAGGGAUCCGAGUGUCAUCGUAAACACUCAAACCUGUUCAACUUCACUUAGAAUUAGAGACUUGGAAAUCCCUGCCCAUGAAGAACCCAUCUUAAUGGCAAGGAUCACAAGUUUGGCCACAUGCCUUACGACAGAUGGGCUUCAAUCUAGAUCUCAGCAUCCUGCCUCAGCAUCCUAGGGUUCAAGGAUAAUUGUGCACCACCACGCCCGGUUUCUGUCACAAUUCUGAAAGAAGUUCUGCAAAACACAAAUGUGUGUCCCACCUCAGCUCCAAGCAACACCCGAGGCCUGGAUGGUAACACCCAUAUCACCAACCAAAGACCUGCCACUGCCAACCCAGAUGCUCUGAGGGGCCUUUGUCUGGAAGCCAUCCCCACUAGCUAUUGUAUUAGCUCAGAUUUGGAUCCCAUCAUUAAACUUUACUCUUUGACUUCAUAGGUCUCAAAAGGAGGAUUAAUAGUUGCUUGAUGAAGCAAGAAAGCAAAUGUGGUUGGCCAUAUGUUGCCAAGAAAAGGAAGAAUGUGUCUCGUUUUCAAAGAAGAGGAAGAGGAGGAAGAGAAAGAAGAAGAAGAAGAAGAAGAAGAAGAAGAAGAAGAAGAAGAAGAA
rnacentral:lncRNA from 1 species